UGUGUAUGGAUGGUGUUCAGCACCAGGGACAGACUUUUGUGUGUAUGGAUGGUGUUCAGCACCAGGGACA
rnacentral:pre_miRNA from 1 species